rnacentral:rRNA from 1 species
AAGAUUUUAUUGGUCGAACAGACCACAAAUUAAAAAUUCUGCCUUUUAAUUUAAUCUUAAUCCAACAUCGAGGUCGUAAUAAAUUCUAUAAAUUUGAUCUUUCAAGAAAUUUUACG